rnacentral:rRNA from 1 species
AAUUCCCUGUCUCUAGAACACUAAUAAAAACUAUCCUCCAUGUGAAAAGACAUGUAUCAUUAANAAAGACAAAAAGACCCUAUUGCGCUUUAUUGUUCCCUGUAAAACCCAUAUACAGAGCAUCAAUUUAGUUGGGGCGACACCGGAUACUAUAACCCAUCCACCAAAACAAAGAGAAACCCCUCAAUUUCACUGACCCUUCAAAAGAUCAAAGAACAAAGUUACCGUAGGGAUAACAGGCUAAUCCCCUCCUAGAGCCCUUAUCAACGAGGGGGGUUGGCACCUCGAUGUUGGCUUAGGAUAUCCAGNAGGNGCAGCCGCCUAUUAAUAGAAGGNUUGUUCAA